rnacentral:lncRNA from 1 species
GCACACACCACUUCACUCUCCACUCCGAGGCUCAGGGAGCAAGUGCCUGGCAUGGGGGACGCCGAAAGAAGCCUGUUUGUGUGCUGCGGCCGUGCUGUGACUUUGGAUCUUGUCUUUCAGCCGGCGCCUCGGUUCCUGCCCAGCUGGAUUUGGGGGGCAGCAUUGCCUGGCGCAGGGAGAUCAAAUGAGACUGCAAAGAAGCAUAAAAUGAAUAGACAAUCCAACCAACCAAAGACCGGGGGCAGCAGCAGGCCAGCAAGACGGCAUCUUCUCCUUCCCAGCCUAGAAGCCCUGUGAAAUCGAGGAUCUUCCCCCUAAAACACAUACACACAAGAUAUGUGCAAUCAAGCUGCCACCGCUUGGUAAAAAGCCAUGGUGCCUAACCAAAAAGGAUCAGGAACAGAUCCUUGAAUCAGCUGUCACUUCUAUAGAAUGGGAUUUUUUUUUCCUUCCUCCUUAACCUGCGCUGGAAAUUGCCGUUGGCUUUAUACAUCUCUAUAGAGAGAGGCUAAAGAGUCUUGCGUGAGAAAGAAGCAAUUUACAAUGCAAAUAGAGGCCUGUGAAGGGACGGAUGCUGCUGCUCACUCGUAACAGCUUGCUGCACCUUAAUAGCUGGUUUUAUUUUCUGAUAUUAAUAGAUGAAUUGUUGGCUAACGCUGCCGGAGAUUACUUGCUGAAAGGAAAAAGAAAAGUUCGGAAUAAACUCUGAAGGCAACAGAUCUCGUUUGGAUGUUUUAGCCGCGCACACACACAAACAGAAACCAGGUCAUAUUUACAUAAAAGGAGGAAUCUUAAGCGCGGCAAGUAUCCUGGACGACCACUCUUCGGUACUGCCAGAAAGGAUCAGGACCUGGAGUCUGGCAAGAGGAAGACAGAGGCCUGUGUGGGAAGCGAGUUGUUAUCUUUGGUUAUCUAGCUGUAUGAGUGUAUUGGUCUUCAUAAAGCUAGAUAACCGAAAGUAAAAACUCCUUCAAGAUCGCCGGGGAGCGUGUGAGAAUGAAAGACUACAGCCGAGAGACAGUAAAAACCAGAAAGGUCAGGAAUACUUAUUGAAUCUAACUUUGUUUUUGUUUUGUUUUUUUCCUUAUGAUUAAAGGUGGGAUGAGAGAAAAUUAAAUGACACACACAUGCUAAAAUAUCAAGGUUCCAGAUAUGUCUUGAGAGGGGUUGUUGCAGCUGCAAAGGAGAAGUGUAUAGUGAUAAUGAGUAAAGAUGCAUGUGCAGUUUGUUCUAUUUUAAGGCAAAAGUUAUAUCAGGGAUUUUUUUCUUAGAAAGGUGUUGCAGAGAUGUCUGGUACCUAGUUUAAAAAUGAUUCCAUAAUAUGUAGACUUGGGCAGUUCCUUUGGGAGGCACCUCCCUCUCAAAAUUUGAAGAUUGUGCUUGGAAAUUACUUUACAUGUAUUUGGGCUGUAUGUCAAUUUGUACGAAAUUAGACUUUCAGAAAAGUUUAUACUGGAAGGUUAAUAAUUUGUAUCUACUGAGGACUUAGAGCUAGCAGGCAAAAUGAAAAAAAAAAAAAAAAAAGCAAGGGCUGAUUUUUAUUCUUCUAUUCAAAAUACAAGGACAGAUGCUUCUCUGUUCCAAGAGGGUUUCCUUGAGGAAGCUACUGAAGCAGAAAGACAUGAUGGAGACGAGAUCGCCUCCCCUCUUGUCAAAGUGUUAAAAAAAUGUUCUGUCUUACUCUGCGCCUAGCAUUGGAAAUGAAAGUGACAUUUACGCCACAACCCACGUGUGCGCCUCCUCUCUUUUUGUUUAAGGAUGAUCAGGUCUAUCCAGGAAACAGCUCUGGCAUCCCAAACUGAAAUAAUUAGGACGUAUAUAGACCUGACAAAAAUGGAAAGGGGGUGGGGAAUCUGAGGGUCUGUCUUGCCUAAUUGAUUCCGCUAAACGGAAUGCAGGAGAUGUGAACGGCAGGACGCUCCGAUUCCCACGCUCGGGGGCAAGUGAUAAAGCGGGGCCGGGCAGCCUAUGACAGACAGCCCUGUUGGGGGGUGGGGGUAUGAAAAAAACAUCAAGUGCACACACCAUACUCAUCUCCAUCGCUUAAGAAAGUAAAGGCAUUUCCCACCCACAGCCAUCUGCAGCUUCCCAAAUGGCAGCACCAACUGGUCUGUAGCUGCUACAUAGUCUGCUUCUGUUAAUUUUUUAACCACUGUUUAAUCUGGCCAUAAUUAAGUUUGGCUUUCUUCGUUGUUUGAGAUUUUCAGAAUUCAAGGCAAGCUAGUAGAAAGCAAUUCCAAGAAAGUCCCAUGACUGCCUGCCCCUAAUGUCAAAAUCUCAGUCCAUGAGAUUAUGGCCUUGUGACCACAUUUUUGCUUUUGUUUUGGGUGGGCAAAUGUGUAUAGAGAUAAAAUACAUAUCUCUAUAUAACAGUCGUUAUUAUAAUUUCAUGAGGCUUUUUACCUCUUAACAUGAUACAUCUAGGAACUUGGUCUAAUUGUGCUAGUAGAUAUACACUAGAAGUAAAACUAUAAAGUCAUUAGCCUGUAGAAAGUUGAUUAUGAUAACAAUAUGAUAAAAAGUUUGUUUUGGAAUAGUCUCAGCUAGAUGGGUCUAAAUAGCCAUUUUAAUGUAAUCUAAAAAUAACACUAUGCCUAGCAGAAACUUUGGCGCUUUGGAGGUCCCCAUUGUCGCCUUUUCAUAAAAGUCCUUAAGUUUUCCAUAUGUCACCAAGCAAACAUUUGUAUAGGCAUUUACACAGAAAUAUAACCAUUGCAAUUAGAAAAUAUCCAAAAUAGCCUGUUAUCUUCCACGUGGCCUAGAUUAUUGACAAUCCCAAAUAUACAAUUUUUCUUUAAAAGUAGUACAAUUUCCUUUGUAGCUUCAAUUCCUUAUAUGACUUCAGACUGGAGAAGCCUGUUAAACCACUGUUAGUUUCAGUUAGAAAGUCUGAGAGACUUUAUACAUAAAUUCUCAAUUUGGCUGCUGUACACGUGCCAGAGUUUUACUACUGUAGUGACCGUUGAGAAGACCCUUGUUUAUUUACAUUUGAAGCACUGUUUGUGCAAACAACCUUUCAUUGUUAAGUGCCUGUAUUCCUUUCAUUUACUUCAUGUCCAGGGGUGCUAUUUACCUAGAACCAUUGUCUACUACAAUUAACAUUUACAUUACAAAGUGUGUGGUUUUCUUUUUCAAGGAGGUUCAAUUAAGGCAAUAAGAUGUUUGCUGGAGAAACCUAUUGUUUACUGAAAGCACUCAAUGAAGUCAAAUUACUGAAGCUUUUGCCUACAUCUUGGUCUUUUAUGUAAAUAUGUUAAAUAUAACAUCUAAGGAAAAUAAACAAUAUUAUAAUUAUGUGUUUGCCAUUGUCAUAUCAAACUUGCUUUGUAUCAUACUAAUGUUACAUAACUUAUCGAUCAAUAAAAAUACAUUUCAAUGUUA